rnacentral:rRNA from 1 species
AAAGAGAUAAUUAAUUAUGAAAGUUAUUGUAGCAAAAAUAUUUUUAAUAAUUAGUUUGAAAUGAAAUGUUAUUCGUUUUUAAAUAUAUCUAGUUUUUUUAGAAAAAAAUUUAAUUUUAUAUUUUUUUUUAUUUUAAAAAAUUAUUAAAAUAAUUUUUUAAAAUAAAAAAUAUAAUAAUUUAAGGGAUAAGCUUUAAAUUAAAUUGUUAUAAUAUUGCUUUUAAAAUUAAAAUUUUUAAAAUUUAUAUUGUUUUUAAAUUAUAAUUUUUUAUAAAUAAUUUUAUUAAAAUAAAGAUUUAAUUUAAAUUUAAUUUUUUAUAAAAAAUUAAUUUUUUAUGGGGAAAAAUUAAAAAUAAUGAUAAAAUUAGUAUAUAAAUUAAAUUAAUAUUUAAUAAAUUUAUUAAAAUUAAUUAAAAAGAAUUCGGCAAAAUUUUAUAUUCACUUGUUUAACAAAAACAUGUCUUUUUGAUAAUAAUUUAAAGUCUAAUCUGCCCACUGAUUUAUUGAGUAUAUUAAAGGGCUGCAGUAUAUUGACUGUACAAAGGUAGCAUAAUCAUUAGUCUCUUAAUUGGUGACUUGUAUGAAAGAUUGGAUGAGAUAUAAACUGUUUCUUAGUUAUUUAUAUAAUUUAAUUUUUUAAUUAAAAAGUUAAAAUAAUUUUAAAAGACGAGAAGACCCUAUAGAGUUUUAUAAAAUUAUUUAUUUAUAUUUAUAAAUAAUUAUAAAAAUAUAUAAUAGUUAGUUUUAUUUUAUUGGGGUGGUAGAAAAAUUAAAUUAACUUUUUUUUAAUAAUUACAAAAAUAAAUGAAUUAAUGAUCCAUAAAUUAUGAUUAUAAGAGAAAAUUCCCUUAGGGAUAACCGCGUAAUUUUUUUUUUUAGUUCAAAUAAAAAAAAAAGUUUGCGACCUCGAUGUUGGAUUAAGAUAAAAUUUAAAUGUAAAAGUUUAAAAUUUUG